rnacentral:rRNA from 1 species
GCUCCCUACGGGCGCAGCAGUGGGGAAUAUUGGACAAUGGGGGGAACCCUGAUCCAGCGACGCCGCGUGAAGGAAGAAGGCUUUCGGGUUGUAAACUUCUUUUCUCAGGGACGAAGAAAGUGACGGUACCUGAGGAAUAAGCCACGGCUAACUACGUGCCAGCAGCCGCGGUAAUACGUAGGUGGCAAGCGUUAUCCGGAUUUACUGGGUGUAAAGGGCGUGUAGGCGGGGAAGCAAGUCAGAUGUGAAAACCACGGGCUCAACCUGUGGCCUGCAUUUGAAACUGUUUUUCUUGAGUACUGGAG